rnacentral:rRNA from 1 species
AGUGGACGCUGGCGGUAGGCCUAACACAUGCAAGUCGAACGGCAGCACAGUAAGAGCUUGCUCUUACGGGUGGCGAGUGGCGGACGGGUGAGGAAUACAUCGGAAUCUACUUUUUCGUGGGGGAUAACGUAGGGAAACUUACGCUAAUACUGCAUACGACCUACGGGUGAAAGCAGGGGAUCUUCGGACCUUGCGCGAUUGAAUGAGCCGAUGUCGGAUUAGCUAGUUGGCGGGGUAAAGGCCCACCAAGGCGACGAUCCGUAGCUGGUCUGAGAGGAUGAUCAGCCACACUGGAACUGAGACACGGUCCAGACUCCUACGGGAGGCAGCAGUGGGGAAUAUGGGACAAUGGGCGCAAGCCUGAUCCAGCCAUACCGCGUGGGUGAAGAAGGCCUUCGGGUUGUAAAGCCCUUUUGUUGGGAAAGAAAAGCAGCAGGUUAAUACCCCGCUGUUCUGACGGUACCCAAAGAAUAAGCACCGGCUAACUUCGUG